CUGUGAUGAAAUUAACCUAAAAAGAGCUGGAAUUACCGUCAGAUUGCUGGUGGUGAGAAGGGUUUUUCUGAGC